AUUGAACGCAGGCGGCAGGCCUAACACAUGCAAGUCGAGCGGAUGAAGGGAGCUUGCUCCUGGAUUCAGCGGCGGACGGGUGAGUAAUGCCUAGGAAUCUGCCUGGUAGUGGGGGAUAACGUCCGGAAACGGGCGCUAAUACCGCAUACGUCCUGAGGGAGAAAGUGGGGGAUCUUCGGACCUCACGCUAUCAGAUGAGCCUAGGUCGGAUUAUCUAGUUGGUGGGGUAAAGGCCUACCAAGGCGACGAUCCGUAACUGGUCUGAGAGGAUGAUCAGUCACACUGGAACUGAGACACGGUCCAGACUCCUACGGGAGGCAGCAGUGGGGAAUAUUGGACAAUGGGCGAAAGCCUGAUCCAGCCAUGCCGCGUGUGUGAAGAAGGUCUUCGGAUUGUAAAGCACUUUAAGUUGGGAGGAAGGGCAGUAAGUUAAUACCUUGCUGUUUUGACGUUACCAACAGAAUAAGCACCGGCUAACUUCGUG
rnacentral:rRNA from 1 species